GAUGAACGCUGGCGGCGUGCCUAAUACAUGCAAGUCGAGCGAAUGGAUUAAGAGCUUGCUCUUAUGAAGUUAGCGGCGGACGGGUGAGUAACACGUGGGUAACCUGCCCAUAAGACUGGGAUAACUCCGGGAAACCGGGGCUAAUACCGGAUAACAUUUUGAACCGUAUGGUUCGAAAUUGAAAGGCGGCUUCGGCUGUCACUUAUGGAUGGACCCGCGUCGCAUUAGCUAGUUGGUGAGGUAACGGCUCACCAAGGCAACGAUGCGUAGCCGACCUGAGAGGGUGAUCGGCCACACUGGGACUGAGACACGGCCCAGACUCCUACGGGAGGCAGCAGUAGGGAAUCUCCCGCAAUGGACGAAAGUCUGACGGAGCAACGCCGCGUGAGUGAUGAAGGCUUUCGGGUCGUAAAACUCUGUUGUUAGGGAAGAACAAGUGCUAGUUGAAUAAGCUGGCACCUUGACGGUACCUAACCAGAAAGCCACGGCUAACUACGUGCCAGCCGCCGCGGUAA
rnacentral:rRNA from 1 species